UUUAUUUUCGGAUUCAAAUCCAAAAAUCAACAAACAGAAUCAAGUUCAAGUGUUUCCGAAGAUCUUCGCUCAAAAUCUCCAAUUGAAACCGCAGGUAAACACGUAAAACUCCACUUUCUUUCUCAAAAAAUAUCAACAAACACGAAUCAGUUAUAGAUCUGCAAAGUUCCAAAGCUUUCAUUCAACAAAACACUAAAAAGAAUCAAGAAAAAUCUUUUUCAAAACCGUGAACAAAAGUGUAGAUCUACAACGAUUCAAACCUUGCAUGAAAAAACCAGUACCGGAUUCGUGUUUAGAACGAAAAAGGAUUUCCAAAAGUGUAAAAA
rnacentral:lncRNA from 1 species